CGAACGGUAACAGGAAGAAGCUUGCUUCUUUGCUGACGAGUGGCGGACGGGUGAGUAAUGUCUGGGAAACUGCCUGAUGGAGGGGGAUAACUACUGGAAACGGUAGCUAAUACCGCAUAACGUCGCAAGACCAAAGAGGGGGACCUUCGGGCCUCUUGCCAUCGGAUGUGCCCAGAUGGGAUUAGCUAGUAGGUGGGGUAACGGCUCACCUAGGCGACGAUCCCUAGCUGGUCUGAGAGGAUGACCAGCCACACUGGAACUGAGACACGGUCCAGACUCCUACGGGAGGCAGCAGUGGGGAAUAUUGCACAAUGGGCGCAAGCCUGAUGCAGCCAUGCCGCGUGUAUGAAGAAGGCCUUCGGGUUGUAAAGUACUUUCAGCGGGGAGGAAGGGAGUAAAGUUAAUACCUUUGCUCAUUGACGUUACCCGCAGAAGAAGCACCGGCUAACUCCGUGCCAGCAGCCGCGGUAAUACGGAGGGUGCAAGCGUUAAUCGGAAUUACUGGGCGUAAAGCGCACGCAGGCGGUUUGUUAAGUCAGAUGUGAAAUCCCCGGGCUCAACCUGGGAACUGCAUCUGAUACUGGCAAGCUUGAGUCUCGUAGAGGGGGGUAGAAUUCCAGGUGUAGCGGUGAAAUGCGUAGAGAUCUGGAGGAAUACCGGUGGCGAAGGCGGCCCCCUGGACGAAGACUGACGCUCAGGUGCGAAAGCGUGGGGAGCAAACAGGAUUAGAUACCCUGGUAGUCCACGCCGUAAACGAUGUCGACUUGGAGGUUGUGCCCUUGAGGCGUGGCUUCCGGAGCUAACGCGUUAAGUCGACCGCCUGGGGAGUACGGCCGCAAGGUUAAAACUCAAAUGAAUUGACGGGGGCCCGCACAAGCGGUGGAGCAUGUGGUUUAAUUCGAUGCAACGCGAAGAACCUUACCUGGUCUUGACAUCCACGGAAGUUUUCAGAGAUGAGAAUGUGCCUUCGGGAACCGUGAGACAGGUGCUGCAUGGCUGUCGUCAGCUCGUGUUGUGAAAUGUUGGGUUAAGUCCCGCAACGAGCGCAACCCUUAUCCUUUGUUGCCAGCGGUCCGGCCGGGAACUCAAAGGAGACUGCCAGUGAUAAACUGGAGGAAGGUGGGGAUGACGUCAAGUCAUCAUGCCCCUUACGACCAGGGCUACACACGUGCUACAAUGGCGCAUACAAAGAGAAGCGACCUCGCGAGAGCAAGCGGACCUCAUAAAGUGCGUCGUAGUCCGGAUUGGAGUCUGCAACUCGACUCCAUGAAGUCGGAAUCGCUAGUAAUCGUGGAUCAGAAUGCCACGGUGAAUACGUUCCCGGGCCUUGUACACACCGCCCGUCACACCAUGGGAGUGGGUUGCAAAAGAAGUAGGUAGCUUAACCUUCGGGAGGGCGCUUACCACUUUGUGAUUCAUGACUGGGGUGAAGUCGUAACUAGGUA
rnacentral:rRNA from 1 species